AUUGAACGCUGGCGGCAGGCUUAACACAUGCAAGUCGAGCGAGCGGCGGACGGGUGAGUAAUGUCUGGGAAACUGCCUGAUGGAGGGGGAUAACUACUGGAAACGGUAGCUAAUACCGCAUACCAUCAGAUGUGCCCAUAUGGGAUUAGCUAGUAGGUGGGGUAAUGGCUCACCUAGGCGACGAUCCCUAGCUGGUCUGAGAGGAUGACCAGCCACACUGGGACUGAGACACGGCCCAGACUCCUACGGGAGGCAGCAGUGGGGAAUAUUGCACAAUGGGCGCAAGCCUGAUGCAGCCAUGCCGCGUGUGUGAAGAAGGCCUUCGGGUUGUAAAGCACUUUCAGCCGGGAGGCGUUACCCGCAGAAGAAGCACCGGCUAACUCCGUGCCAGCAGCCGCGGUAAUAC
rnacentral:rRNA from 1 species